GAGUACGACCACACUUGGGUGAGUACACCAUAUCCCGUCCGAUUACUGCAGGUAAGCACCCACAGGCUUAGUUAGCACUGAGGUCAGUGAUGACGCGGGAUCCCUAAGCGCCGCACUCC
rnacentral:rRNA from 1 species